UUCGGGUUGAUCCCGCCGGACCCGACUGCUAUCAGAGUGGGACUAAGCCAUGCGAGUCAACAUAGCAAUAUGUGGCAUACGGCUCAGUAACACGUAGUCAACAUGCCCAGGGGACGUGGAUAACCUCGGGAAACUGAGGAUAAACCGCGAUAGGUCAUCACUUCUGGAAUGGGUAAUGACUUAAAUCUAUAUGGCCCCUGGAUUGGACUGCGGCCGAUCAGGCUGUUGGUGAGGUAAUGGCCCACCAAACCUGUAACCGGUACGGGCUCUGAGAGGAGGAGCCCGGAGAUGGGCACUGAGACAAGGGCCCAGGCCCUAUGGGGCGCAGCAGGCGCGAAACCUCUGCAAUAGGCGAAAGCUUGACAGGGUUACUCUGAGUGAUUUCCGUUAAGGAGAUCUUUUGGCACCUCUAAAAAUGGUGCAGAAUAAGGGGUGGGCAAGUCUGGUGUCAGCCGCCGCGGUAAUACCAGCACCCCGAGUGGUCGGGACGUUUAUUGGGCCUAAAGCAUCCGUAGCCGGUUCUACAAGUCUUCCGUUAAAUCCACCUGCUUAACAGAUGGGCUGCGGAAGAUACUAUAGAGCUAGGAGGCGGGAGAGGCAAGCGGUACUCGAUGGGUAGGGGUAAAAUCCGUUGAUCCAUUGAAGACCACCAGUGGCGAAGGCGGCUUGCCAGAACGCGCUCGACGGUGAGGGAUGAAAGCUGGGGGAGCAAACCGGAUUAGAUACCCGGGUAGUCCCAGCUGUAAACGAUGCAGACUCGGUGAUGAGUUGGCUUAUUGCUAACUCAGUGCCGCAGGGAAGCCGUUAAGUUUGCAGCCUGGGGAGUACGGUCGCAAGACUGAAACUUAAAGGAAUUGGCGGGGGGAGCA
rnacentral:rRNA from 1 species